GACGAACGCUGGCGGCGUGCUUCAUACAUGCAAGUCGAACGAGAAUCUAUCUUCGGAUAGAGGAAAGUGGCGGACGGGUGAGUAAUAUGUAGAGAAUCUGCCCUUGAGAGGGGGACAACAGAGGGAAACUUCUGCUAAUACCCCAUAUGAGCGUAGCUGAAAUGCUAUUCUUGAAAACUCCGGUGCUCAAGGAUGAGUCUGCAUCUGAUUAGCUAGUUGGUGGUGUAAUGGACUACCAAGGCGACGAUCAGUAGCUGGUUUGAGAGGAUGAUCAGCCACAAUGGGACGUGAGACACGGCCCACUACUCCUAC
rnacentral:rRNA from 1 species